GGGGUCGUUACGGAUUCGACAGGCAUUAUGAGGCCUAUUUUGCAACCCAUCGGCAGAUGUAAAAUGCCAGUUAAAUAUAACUGCAAAAAAUAACACAACUUACGCUGUAGCUGCCUAAAAACCAGCUCUCGUGGCUUUUAUGAGAUUGCUUACGUCUCAUUAAAAGUCUUAAAAUAGUAAGCUACGUGUGAUUAUUGUCUAGCUAAUCAUAAAGAGACUAAUAGACUCGCUGAUUUUUGGCUUGAGCUAUGUGUCAUUAAUUAGUCAAAAUAAGACAUAGCCUAUGGUUGUAGACAAAUAUGUUAGCAGAUGUUUGGACGUGGGUUCGACUCCCACCGGCUCCAUUA
rnacentral:tmRNA from 1 species